UACGUAGGGUGCAAGCGUUAAUCGGAAUUACUGGGCGUAAAGCGUGCGCAGGCGGUUAUGCAAGACAGAGGUGAAAUCCCCGGGCUCAACCUGGGAACUGCCUUUGUGACUGCAUAGCUAGAGUACGGUAGAGGGGGAUGGAAUUCCGCGUGUAGCAGUGAAAUGCGUAGAUAUGCGGAGGAACACCGAUGGCGAAGGCAGGUCUCUGGGCUGACACUGACGCUCAUGCACGAAAGCGUGGGGAGCAAACAGG
rnacentral:rRNA from 1 species